rnacentral:siRNA from 1 species
GACAAUCUCGUGUUCAGCGGUUGC